rnacentral:rRNA from 1 species
UACGGGGGGAGCAAGCGUUGUUCGGAUUUACUGGGCGUAAAGGGCGCGUAGGCGGCCACCGCAAGUCAGUUGUGAAAUCUCUGGGCUUAACCCAGAAAGGUCAACUGAUACUGCGGGGCUAGAGUGCAGAAGGGGCAACUGGAAUUCUCGGUGUAGCGGUGAAAUGCGUAGAUAUCGAGAGGAACACCUGCGGCGAAGGCGGGUUGCUGGGCUGACACUGACGCUGAUGCGCGAAAGCUAGGGGAGCAAACGGG